GAUGAACGCUAGCGGCAGGCUUAACACAUGCAAGUCGAGGGGCAGCGCGGGAUAGCAAUAUCCUGGCGGCGACCGGCGGAAGGGUGCGUAACGCGUGAGCGACAUGCCCGUUGCCCGGGGACAACCGGUGGAAACGCCGACUAAUCCCCGAUGGGAUAUUGUGCCGCAUGGCACGAUAUUGAAAGUUACGGCGGCGACGGAUUGGCUCGCGUCCGAUUAGCUUGUUGGCGGGGUAACGGCCCACCAAGGCUGCGAUCGGUAGGGGUUCUGAGAGGAAGGCCCCCCACAAUGGGACUGAGACACGGCCCAUACUCCUACGGGAGGCAUCAGUGAGGAAUAUUGGUCAAUGGGCGGAAGCCUGAACCAGCCAUGCCGCGUGCGGGAAGGAGGCCCUAUGGGCUGUGAACCGCUUUUGCCUGGGGGCAAUAAGGGCGUCGCGCACGUCCGAUGAGAGUACCAGGCGAAUAAGCAUCGGCUAACUCCGUG
rnacentral:rRNA from 1 species